rnacentral:rRNA from 1 species
CAAUAGCGUAUAUUAAAGUUGUUGCAGUUAAAAAGCUCGUAGUUGAAAUUCUGAUUGAUCGGGUUUUCAGCCUUUAGGCGAGAAUACCGACAGUCAUCCGCUUGCAAACAUUGCUCGAUUUUAACCGAUUGACUAUGUGAGUAAGCACUUUACCUUGAGAAAAACAGAGUGUUCCAGGCAGGUUUGUCCGGAAUGCAUUAGCAUGGAAUAAUAGAACAUGACUGAAGUCAAUUUAUUGGUUAGAGACUUUAGUAAUGAUUAAUAGGAACAGUCGGGGGCAUUCGUACUCAGCAGUCAGAGGUGAAAUUCUAAGAUUUGCUGAAGACGAACUAAUGCGAAAGCAUUUGCCAAGGAUGUUUUCAUUAAUCAAGAACGAAAGUUAGGGGAU